rnacentral:lncRNA from 1 species
UCUUUUUGAAUUAAGGUGUCCAAAGAAAAUCCUUUUGAAUUAACAUAUGAUCCAGCAGUUUUACUUCUAAGUAUGUACACCAAAGAAUAGAAAACAGGGGCCAGGCGCGGUGGCUCACACCUGUAAUCCCAGCACUUUGGAAGGCGGAGGCAGGCAGAUCACUUGAGGUCAGGAGUUCAAGACCAAAAAAAAAAAAACUGAAUUAUUGAGAGUGCAAGAAAAGGUUGUAGGUAUUUACCUUAUUGUAAGUUGUGUCUUACGUUUCUGUAAGUUUGAGCUUGUUUGCAUGAUAGUUUCUUUGUUGUUCGGGAGUAUUCAAUGAUUGAAUGGCCGGGGUUUUGUGGGAAUACUGUGAGUUGUUUUCCAAGGUGUAUGACACGCUAUGUUGGGGACUGGGUUCUAACUAAGACAGCUACCGUUAAUCUUUUUCAUCCAAAUGCAGCCAGCGAGUGAGCUACUCCAUUUCCUUUGUCACUGAAGGUCACAGAUUCCCUUAAAGGGAAGGGGAACUCUAAAACUAACACAUUAAUACAUCCAAAGUUUUCCUUUUUUUUUUUUUUUUUUUUUUUUUUUGAGACGGGGUUUUCGCUGUUGCCCAGGCUGGAGUACAGUGGCGCGAUCUUGGCUCACUGCAACCUCCACAUUCCGGGUUCAAGCGAUUCUCUGUCUCAGCCUCCGGAGUAGCUGGGAUUACGGGAGCCCAACACCACGCCGGGCUCAUUUUUGUAUUUUUAGUGGAGACGGGGUUUCGCCUUCUUGGCCAGGCUGGUUUCAAACUCCUGACCUCAGGUGAUCCGCCUGCCUCGGCCUCCCGAAGUGCUGGGAUUACAAGUGUGAACCACCGCGUUUUCUUCCUUUUAAAGCAAACAAGAGGGAAAAAGGCACAGAAGAUUGCUCAGGUCCUACUGUGGAGUCCUCGGCAGAGCUGGGGCUGAUCAGGUUCUCUUGCCCCUAGUGUGGUACUUGUUCCCACUACACCAGCCUCUUCCACUCUUAUCUUUUUACGAAGACCUGGGCUGUCCAUGGACAGAGGUCCUCAGGAGUCACAACCCUGGGCAUGGCGGAUCCAGCUGGACCUGCUUAGGACACCGCCCAUAAAAGACUCCUCCAGCCUGUAGCAAAAAGAGGUGGCAAAAAGGGUGGCAACAAUACCUACAAGGUCAAAGACGGUGCUGGGAAAAACAGCUCCAGUGGCAAAUUAAACUCAGUCCCCAGUUCAAGGACCUCACAGACUGGAGACGUGGAGGUGAAGGUAGCAGUGAGCUGAAAUUGCUCCACUGCACUCCAGCCUGGGUGACNNNNNNNNNNNNNNNNNNNNNNAAAAAAAAAAAAAAAAAAGAAGAAGCCGGGAGCAUUGGCCCACGCCUGUCAUCCCAGCACUUUGGGAGGCCAGAGCGGGCAGAUCACGAGGUCAGGAGUUCAAGACCAGCCUGGCCAACACGGUGAAACCCUAUCUCUACUAAAAAUACAAAAAAAAAAAAAAAAAAAAAAAAAUUAGCCAGCCAUGGUAGUGGGCGCCUGUAAUCCCAGCUACUCGGGAGGCUGAGGCAGGGGAGUCGCUUGAACCCGGGAGGCGGAGAUUGCAGUGAGCCAAGACCGCGCCAUUACCCUCCAGCCUGGGCGACAGAGUGACACUCCGUCUCAAAAAGAAAAAAAAAAAAAGUUAUCCAAAACUUAGAAAUAACGUGAAAAGAGUACAUGUCCUUUCAAAAUCAAACUACAACAAUUUCUUAUAUUUUGGCAUGCAUAAAAAUAACCUUGAGAAUUUGUUAAGACACAGAUCGAAUCCCCAUUCCUAGAGAUUCCAAUUCAGGAGGUCUGGGAUGGAGACUAAGAUUCUGCAUUUCUAAAAGUUCGCAGAUGCUGGUCCAGGGUCCACAGCUUGAACAGCAGGGGAAGAAAUGUAGCAUUGUAUAAUUAGCAUCAUCACACGCUAGAAGAAAACUCAACUUACUGUUUAUUGCAGAUUUUUUAUUAGAGAUGGGUUCUUGGCUGGGCAUGGUGGCUCACGCCUGUAAUCCCAGCACUUUGGGAGGCCAAGGCAGGAGGAUCUCUUGAGUCCAAGAGUUCAAGACCAGCUUGGGCAACAUCAUGAGACGCUUGUCUCUACCAAAAAAUAUGAGAAUGUUUUUGUUGUUGUUCUUUUUGUUUUUGUUUUUUGGAGAGAGCAGGGUUUCACUCUGUCACCCCAGCUGGAAUGCAGUCAUGCAAUAUCAGCUCCUGCAAUCUCCACUUCCCAGGCUCAAGUGAUCCUCUCACCUCAGCCUCAUGAGUAGAUGGAACUAUAGGCACGUGCCACCACACUCGGCUAAUUUUAUUUUAUUUUUUGUAGGGGCGGAAGUUUUGCAUAUUGC